GGACUACUGGGGUUUCUAAUCCCGUUCGCUCCCCUGGCUUUCGCACAUGAGCGUCAGAAACGAGCCAGAACGCUGCCUUCGCCUUUGGUGUUCUUCCGAAUCUCUACGCAUUUCACCGCUCCACUCGGAAUUCCGCGUCCCUCUCUCGUUCUCAAGUCUUCCAGUUUUCCAAGGCCUGUGGCAGUUGAGCCACCACCUGUCACUCGAAACUUGGAAGACCGCCUGCGUGCGCUUUACGCCCAAUAAAUCCGGACAACGCUUGCCCCCUACGUAUUACCGCGGCUGCUGGCAC
rnacentral:rRNA from 1 species